rnacentral:lncRNA from 1 species
AAGCGCAGAUCACUUCCAUUCCACAUCCCUUCCAGAAGCGCCAAUCCUAGAGCAUCUUCCAAUGGCCAUGUCCCAUCGCCACGGUCAACCUUUCAAUCGCCCGAUGCAGCUGCAGUCCAAUCUGCCCUUUCUAUGGACAAAAAUGAAGGUAUUAGAUUUCUCGUAUCUCUACAUCUCUAAAGAGGUUGUAGAACAGAUGAACUGACGAUAACCCAAGUGACAAAACUAUUUCUAGUAAUAUGUUUGGCUAAGGCUUGUAGCUAUGUCCAUUUUUUUAUUUUUAUUCAGGAGUCCAAACAAGAAGAAAAGCUUACGAGAAGACGAUCGAAGCGGUACUUACGGAGUCGGCUUUGGAGUUCCAAAAGAUGCAGCAAGAUUUGGUCAAUCCGCCUCUAGUGGGUAUUACAGAGUCCAGAGCGUCCAAUAGCAUCGUAGCAGAGCCCGAAGAAUCACCGGCUACACAUACACCGUUUCCGACAUCUAACAAGA